UAAGCUUCUCGGUCUUUUGGCUAAGAUUAAAGUGUAGUAUCUGUUCUUAUCACCUUAAUACCUGAUACGGCCCCUAUUUAGGGCCAUCGAUAUUAAACUGGUUUUUAGAACGAGGCGAAGUGUUAGGGGCUUGCUCCGCCUUUGCCCCAAUUAAAAACGGCGGUGCAUCAGCAUGGCCGCAGCUAUGGGCUGAAACGAU